GUUGACUGGAAGUGACAGGCCUUCUCUUCAAAAUAAACAAGGAUGGGCCAAAACUGUAAAAUCUGGACAGAAAUUAAUACGCAAGCAUAAGAACUACAUUGUGUUUUGUAUAGAUGUGUCCCUGCUACGGAGGCACCUAACAGAAAGGGGAUAUAAUUAAGAUUGCAUUGUGGAUUUGCCCUGUGCCACCUCUAAAUGGCAGAAGAAAACUCAACUCAGCACAACCAGAAACACUUUUCUGAAGAAAAUUCUGCCAAGAGACAGUUGUGAAGGGAAUCGUGUAGAUAAUCUCCAGAAAAGAAAUCACCACUGAUAUUGGGAUGUAUGUACCAAUAUUUUAAUACAAUCAUCAAAGACAAAUUUACCACAGGAAUAAAAAUAAAACUGUCUGGUAUUCAAGGGCCUGCCAUGGUAGAAGUUCUCCUGAAGAAAAUAUUCCAUUUAUUGUGGACAUCAUGACACAGGGCUCACCUGUCAUCAGCAUUAGAGACUUGUGUGAUUUGUUCUACCUGGGCCAUACAUGUAUUGAAAGAAAACAAUUCAUAGAACCACAAGCACAUUCAUUUGUAAAUCUAUGUAAGGUCUUCUGUGUAUGUUGUAUUCCUUAUAUAAUUUGCUAUUUUAUAACAAGACUUUGUUUCAUUGGUACUAAAACUUGAUACAUGAACACAUAAAAAUCCCAAAGCAGUUGUGAUAUUUAU